rnacentral:rRNA from 1 species
CCUACGGGUGGCAGCAGUGAGGAAUAUUUGUCAAUGGACGAGAGCCUGAACCAGCCAAGUAGCGUGAAGGAUGACUGCCCUAUGGAUUGUAAACCUCUUUUAUGUGGGAACAAAAUAUUCCACGUGUGCCAUUUUGUGUGUACCAUAUUAACAAGGAUCGGCUAACUCCGUGCCAGCAGCCGCGGUAAGACGGAGGAUGCGAGCGUUAUCCGGAUUUAUUGGGUUUAAAGGGAGCGUAGGGUGUUUGUUAAGUCAGGUGUGAAAGUCUGUGGCUCAACCGUAACACUGCAGUUGAAACUGGCAGUCUAGAGUAAAGUAGAGGGAGGCGGAAUUCGCGGUGUAGCGGUGAAAUGCUUAGAGAUCGCGAAGAACUCCGAUUGCGAAGGCAGCUCCCUGGACAACAACUGACGCUGAGGCACGAAAGUGUGGGUAUCGAACAGGAUUAGAUACCCGGGUAGUC